GCUCUCAAGUGUCACGCAUUGAGCGUGACAGUCACUCAUUUCGGUCUUUUGUCACGCACUCCCGCCACACAUUGUAUUUCUCACGCAGAAAAACUAUUUAUCAUACAUUUAAUAUGCCGCAGCGCCCAAAAUGUAUCUGGCCGCGCCGCUCUCUCUAUGGAACCGGGCAGGAAUCAAGCGCGUCUCGAACUUGCCACUUAUCAGCCAAUCAAAAAAAAAAGAAAGAGGCUACACAAUAGCCAAUCAGAAAAUAGCACUAUUGUAUCUGGGUAAGAUUUAACGCAACAACCAAUGAAAAAAAAAGCAUAUCCUGGAAUUGUUCACCAUCAUCCUCGUUCACCCACAGAGGAAACCACUGUAGCUCUGAGCAUCACUUUGAGCACAGAGUAAGUCAUGAUCUCCUGUUUUAAUGUUACAACAAAUUCACAACUUGUUUGACACAAACAAUGACAACUUGACUGCUGUUAGAUAAUCAGAUAAUCAGCAUCAGUUUUUCAUCAGUGUCUGUAACUUAGACAACAGUUUUACAGCCUGUUCACUGACACCUGCUCAGAACAAGUAGUCUAGGCCUAGUUAUAUUUUGCUAUCACACGAUGACUGACAUUUUGUUAUAUUAAACAUCUCUCUCUCUCCAAAUAGUUUUAAUAAUUUUAUUAGCACUAAAUAAAUUAAAGUGUAUUGCAUCGUCAAUGUUAUAGGUCACUUUUUAAAUCAUGUCACAUUUUAUAUCCAGGCCAUGGAGGUUUCCCAUACUAGACUGUAGCGGCCCGCCACAUUCUAAUUGGUCCCGCCACAGUCUCAAAAUAUGAAUACGGAUAUGACGCGAUAUUUAAAUUACCGUCUGAUAAUUGCGCUCCUUUAUAUGGCAAAAGUGGGAGUCAUAGAGCAAAAUAAGUAGACUAGCACCAAUUAAGUUUUCGUGCACUAUAUUCAAAGUCAUCUGAAGCCAUUCCAUAGCUUUUUUUUUUCUUCCAAGAAUUAGGCUAGAAUACUUUUUGCUGUUGAAUUAUCAACCCUGUAUCACAUGAAAUACGUUCUGAGGAAACUAUUUUGCAAAUCGCAAUUACGUUACAUGCCAACAUAUAAGCAGUGCUAUUACGUUGGUCCUUAACCUAAUAAAGCCAAUUUAUUGCAGUGCUAUUACGUUUGUCCUGAACAUAAUACAUCCAAAGCAGGUUUCUUUUCACACGUAGCAGCUAAUGCUGUUCAUUUUGUUUUAAUUAUUUACUCCCUUUUUUCUGAUCGGGCUACAAAAUAUUAUUUAUGCCAGGGGGAGUCAAAUGGCGGCACCCAGAUAAUUUUUAUCUGGCCCUCCAACUGGUUUUUGAUGUUUAAAACCGCUCGCAAUCUGAUAUCAAAGUCCCCGCAAAGGUUUUCAUAAGGUUUUCAUAAUAUUCACUCAGUGAAUGUCAACCCGUUCUCACUCCUGACCGUUCUCACGCUGAAGAAGUCUCCUUCAGAACACAUCGCGAUAUUUGGCAUCAGUUCGCGUGUGCUGGAUGUUGCUGAAAAGACAAAAAGGGCCUUUUGGAAAUGGAUGAAGGAGACAGAAAGCUGCAAAGGUAAAUAAUUGCAAUGAAGGAAAUCCUACGGUUAUGUAUGAACUCACAACAUCAUCAUCAAGUGCUGUGCUGGGCACAUUGGGUAACAAGUGUCCUCCAACGUAUCCAAUCUG